AUGUUCAAUGACUGCAUUGCUAACCUUGGUCUCCGCAAAUUAGAUAGGGUUGGUGCCAGGUUCACCUGGACCAACCGUCAGGCUACUCCGACCCAGUCCGUCCUGGACCGGGUCCUAGUUUCCCCAGAUUGGGACCUCCGGUGCUCCCUUGCUUCCCUCUGGGCCAUCACUCGGAUCGGUUCUGACCACGUCCCCCUCCUCCUCUCCUCCGCCGACGAGCGUCCCCCGAUCCCUUCCCGAUUCCGGUUUGAGACAUUUUGGUUGUCCCAAGCUGGCUUCGUCGAGGCCGUGACCGCUCGAUGGGUGGAGGGCCGCGCCCUCUCCCGGUCCUCGUCUUGCCCCCCAUCCACCAUCGACUCGUGGCAUUUUUGUGCCAAGCGUGGCCGGUAGUUCAUGAAGGGCUGGGGCGCCAACUUGGGUCGUGACCUCCGUGAGUGCAAGAAGGCUCUUCUGUCUGUUAUUCAGGCCCUAGACCUGCGCACGGACACCUCCGGCCUCUCUCCUGGGGAAUGGCUGUCCCGGUACGACCUGGAAGACCAACUCUCGAUUAUCUACUCCGAUGAGGAGGCCUACUGGCAUGUGCGCAGGGAUAAAAAAUGGGUAUUGAAGGGUGAUGCGAACACGGCGUAUUUUCAGGCCAUCGCGAAUGGCCGCCGUAUACGCAACACCAUCCUCCUCCUCUGGGAUGGGCCUUCCCUACUGUAGUCCCCGCGGGACAUUAGGUCCCAUGUUGACGGCUUCUAUAGAUCUCUGUUCGCUGCCGUUCCUCGGAGCGGCUUAUCCCUGGCCCCAGAUUGUUGGUCCAGCCGCCAGCUUGUCAUGGAUGAGGAGAACGCGGCCCUCACGGCCCCCUUCUCCGAGGGCGAGGUUUGGGCCGCCAUCAAAGGCAUGAACCCUACCUCUGCCCCGGGCCCGGAUGGCCUGCCGGUUAAGUUCUUCCAAACCUUCUGGAAUGUGCUCAAACCGGAGGUCAUGGCCAUCUUCGAUGAGUUCUAUGUCGGGCCCAUUGAUCUCGGACGCCUUAACUACGGAACGAUCUCGCUUAUCCCCAAGGUCCCUGGGGCGUCGGACAUCCGUCAGUUCCGGCCGAUCACGGUCAUAAACGUGAUCUUCCGUAUUCUGGUGAAAGGGUACGCCAAUAGGGUGACCCUGCUCGCAGACCACAUUACCCACCCCAACCAAUCGGUCUUCAUCCAAGGACGAUAUAUUCUGGAUGGGGUGCUAGUCCUCCACGAGGUUCUCCAUGAGGUCCGCCCCAAACAUCUCAAGGCGGUCUUCCCGAAGAUCGAUUUCCAUAAGGCCUAUGACACCGUUAGCUGGUGUAACGCCCCGAGACCGACGCUCCAGAAGACUUCCAGCUAUUCCGAGUUUCGUCGUGUGAUUUGUUUUAUUUGUUGCAUUCAUCCUUGCAUCAUGUGCAUUGCAUCAUGUCAUCAUGCCAUCAUAUCAUUAAUUUUUAAAACCUCAACUAAAUAA
rnacentral:rRNA from 1 species